UAAUCGGGAAACGAAUAUUGCUAAGGGAUCGGCCUAUAUCCUAUCAGUUAGUUGGUGAGGUAAGAGCUCACCAAGACGAUGACGGGUAGCGGGUUUGAGAGGAUGAUCCGCCACACUGGUACUGAGACACGGACCAGACUCCUACGGGAGGCAGCAGUGACGAAUAUUGCACAAUGGGGGCAACCCUGAUGCAGCAACGCCGCGUGGAGGAUGACGCAUUUCGGUGUGUAAACUCCUUUUAUAUGUCAAGAAAAUGACGGUAGCAUAUGAAUAAGCACCGGCUAACUCCGUGCCAGCAGCCGCGGUAAUACGGAGGGUGCAAGCGUUAUUCGGAAUCACUGGGCGUAAAGGACGCGUAGGCGGGUUAGCAAGUCAGAUGUGAAAUCCUACAGCUUAACUGUAGAACUGCAUUUGAAACUGCCAACCUAGAGUAUGGGAGGGGGAGAUGGAAUUAGUG
rnacentral:rRNA from 1 species